AUGCAGACGGAGCAAAUUAAGGAAGAGUGCAGCUCCACAGGGGACAGCUGUGAGCGUGCUGCGGUGCAGCGCUUGGCACCUCGGGCUGCUUACACAGCGAGAUGCACACCGAGUUCAAGCACUCCUCGGUCGGAGGUUUCACUUCUUGCCAUCCCCAUCCUGGGAAGAUGUAGAGAACUUCAGAGCAGCAAGGACGAGAUGGAGACUGCCCGCGGGCUGGGGAGAAAAGAGAACUGGCUCAAACAGAAAGAACGCCGGAGGAACAGAGGAGCCAAACGAGGAAGUACCUGGCAAAGAGAGCAGUGGUCCUGUACUGUAAUUGAAUUUCCUUGGCUUAGAAGGCAGAAAGGAAGAAUGCAUCAUCAGGAGCUGGAGGUCAAGAAUUAAAAAAGCCAGCAUAGCAGACGUUCCUGUGGCCUGUUGUUGCCUUAAUGUCUGAAGCUUUCACAUCCCUGCCUGCACAGUAAGUUAAAAUUCUUUGUUCUUAUGUUUAGGUCUCCACUGUGUUUUACUACUCCAAAUCUUGUAGCUGUUCAGGCUUUUUUUCUUCCUUCACUCCUCCUUUUAUGCCUUUCUGUAUGUUUACAAUGCCUUUCCAAACUCCUGCUCUCUAGAAAAAGGGGAUUCUAGAGUUAAGUGUAAUAGAACCUGUUCAUAUGUAUGUAACUCCAAUGUAGAGACUGGCGGGUCACUAAUUUGCCUCUUCCUUUUCUUAUUUGCUUCAACUAGUGUGUAAAAAUGUGAAAGUAGAGUUUUCCAAGGUGAAAUAGGUAACCACAAACAUCAGCUCAGGAUUAAUCAUCUACUUAAGCCCCGAGAUAAAAAGCAGCAGAGAGG
rnacentral:lncRNA from 1 species